AAGAAGAGAGGAAGAACAAAGCCAUGGAGAGGAUCUUGGGGGUAUUUACAGGGAAGUGCAAGCCAUUUCUUUUGCUGGAGUGUACUGUGGGUUGAAUAGAGCUAUAGGAAAUAAGUUUGGAAUUGUAGAUUGGGGCCAUUGCAUUAGUAAUAUGUUUAGAGGUGAGCCAAUUAUAGAAGUUGCAUGAUCUAUGAAAAUAGAUAUUAUUCUUUGAUUCACUGACUCUUUGUCUGCUAGCAUGCACUUUCUGGACAUGCCAAAGUAAAGCCCUUUGAUCCCAAGAUUACCUGCAAACAGGAAUGUCUUAUCACAACUUUUCAGGAUGUCUACUUUGUAUCUGAAAGUUUUGAAGAUGCAAAGGAGAAGAUGAGAGAAUUUACCAAAACAAUUAAGCGUCCAUUUGGAGUGAAGUAUAAUCCAUAUACACGGAGUAUUCAGAUCCUGAAAGACACCAAGAGCA
rnacentral:sRNA from 1 species